rnacentral:rRNA from 1 species
AGAGUUUGAUCAUGGCUCAGAUUGAACGCUGGCGGCAGGCCUAACGCAUGCAAGUCGAACGGUAACAGAAAGAAGCUUGCUUCUUUGCUGACGAGUGGCGGACGGGUGAGUAAUGUCUGGGAAACUGCCCGAUGGAGGGGGAUAACUACUGGAAACGGUAGCUAAUACCGCAUAACGUCGCAAGACCAAAGAGGGGGAUCUUCGGGCCUCUUGCCAUCGGAUGUGCCCAGAUGGGAUUAGCUAGUAGGCGGGGUAACGGCCCACCUAGGCGACGAUCUCUAGCUGGUCUGAGAGGAUGACCAGCCACACUGGAACUGAGACACGGUCCAGACUCCUACGGGAGGCAGCAGUGGGGAAUAUUGCACAAUGGGCGCAAGCCUGAUGCAGCCAUGCCGCGUGUAUGAAGAAGGCCUUCGGGUUGUAAAGUACUUUCAGCGGGGAGGAAGGGAGUAAAGUUAAUACCUUUGCUCAUUGACGUUACCCGCAGAAGAAGCACCGGCUAACUCCGUGCCAGCAGCCGCGGUAAUACGGAGGGUGCAAGCGUUAAUCGGAAUUACUGGGCGUAAAGCGCACGCAGGCGGUUUGUUAAGUCAGAUGUGAAAUCCCCGGGCUCAACCUGGGAACUGCAUCUGAUACUGGCAAGCUUGAGUCUCGUAGAGGGGGGUAGAAUUCCAGGUGUAGCGGUGAAAUGCGUAGAGAUCUGGAGGAAUACCGGUGGCGAAGGCGGCCCCCUGGACGAAGACUGACGCUCAGGCGCGAAAGCUAGGGGAGCGAGCAGGAUUAGAUACCCUGGUAGU